GAGCACGUAGGUGGGUUUGUAAGUCAGAUGUGAAAGCCUUCUGUUCAACGGAAGAAUUGCAUCUGAAACUGCAAAUCUUGAGUAUAGGAGGGGAGAAUGGAACUUCUGGUGGAGCGGUGAAAUGCGUAGAUAUCAGAAGGAACGCCGGCGGCAAAAGCGAUUCUCUGGCCUAUUACUGACACUGAGUGUGCGAAAGCUAGGGGAGCAAACGGGAUUAGAUACCCCGGUAGUCCUAGCCGUAAACGAUGGGCACUAAGUAGAGGGGUUUU
rnacentral:rRNA from 1 species